ACUCUCUACUUCCCACCAGUGAGUGAUGUUUGACCACGUCCUUGAAGCAGGACUGCAACACACAUAGCUGUUGUUCGGGAGGACAACAGAUGUUUUCACAAGAGCCUACGCCUUCCCUCUUCUUCUUUUUUCCACCUUUUAUUGCUGAGUGUGACAUCAUAAGUGUAAACCUGGUUGAAGUCUCCCAGUCCUGAAUGAGUACUCUCCCCCUGAAUCUACUACUAGAAAGACAGAAUUGUGUCCAUCGGCUAUAUCUCUUAUCAGGCUACCUGUCAAGCAAUGAGUGUACUGAGAUCUGUGCUGCAAAAGUUGUGUGCUUAUCCUGAAUAAUUCCUGUUUGGGAGAACAAAUAAAAAUAUACAAGAAGAAAGUGGCUCAUCUGUGAAAGAAGUGAGCAAAAUAAAAAGAGCAGACAACAAUAUCACAAAAUCAACUGAUAAGUGUGAUGAGUUACCAUGCAAGUUAAGCUCCCUAUCAUGCUCAAACCCAUUCCCACGUGGCGAUGCAUGUCUCUGUAAGAAGACACCUUGUCUUUGCACCUCAAGUCUGUAUUGCCAUGUGUGUGGCAGCAGCUGGUAACCCUCUGUCACGGCACUCACUGGGAGUUGCAUGAGGACACAGACAGCACCGCAAACAGGCGGUCACUUUAGAAGCGCAAGAUCCUUUGAAGCAGUGAUAGGAAUGAACAAGGAAGGCAAACAGGUGCGGAUUUGCUGCUGAAAGUAUGUUGAGACUUCCAAGAUAAAAGAUGCAUUCCACAGACACCACUGCAUUUAGGAAGUACUCUCCGUACGUGCUUGUGGACAGUCAUGUAUCUGGACCAGGAGACAGACAACUGCAACUUGUCAAGAUCACUCAAUAAAUCUCUAGGAGGCCAAAAUACAAGUUUGGCUUCUGAUCUUUAAUUAUGAACUUUCUUCAGACAUGUUGUGUCUGUUCAGUAGCUGGAUAAUUUCUGUUUCUUUUCAUUACACAAGAACUAAAGCUAUACCUUGGGGUACUUAUUUCAAAUUCUAUUCAUAAAACGUUCUUGAGAAACCACUCACGGGUAUAACUAAACUCCCUUCUUGAAUACACAGACUGCAGGUGUAAGAUUCAGAAUACCUGGAUUUAGUACUUGACUUUGUUAAUGAGUUGAAAUCACUGAUGUAUACAUCAGUUCUUUGUUGAUCUUUUCUUUCCUUCUAGCCUUUGUGUUUUGAGGAUCUGUUAAUAUAUAUAGCAUGCAUAUAUAAGUUGUAUCUAGCUUCUAGCAAGAAGGGAAUUUUUAAGCAGGAAACUUUCAAGCUGGAGGGGAUUUUCAGGACUGGAACUGAAUAAAGCCUGCAACUUCA